rnacentral:lncRNA from 1 species
UUCUUUGGCACAUUGGAGAUGGUAGCAGAGCUAAGUUCUGAGCUGAUAACUGGUUGGGGGAUUGUGGACCUCUAAAUUUUUUGACUUUUCAACCAGUGGAUGAACCCUUAUUGUCUAAUUGUGUAAAAGACCUUGUUACUUCGGAGGGCCAGUGGAACUGGGACUUGUUACACACAAUGUUUCCUGUGAAUGUGCUUUUUCAGUUGGCUGCACUCAUUGUUCU